UCCAACACAAUUCCACAUAUAAACAAAUCCUUCGAAAUUAGCAAGUUUUUCAAUACCAUAAGACUUUUUGUUACUUGUUUAAAGUCUUGAUUGAAUACCAUUAGAUUUCGACACUCUCUUUUAAAAAUCCUUAUAGUCUUAAUGGAAAACCACAAGACUUGCUUAGAUUAUUUAAAAGUCUCAAUUGAAUACCACAAGACUUAUUUAUCCCAUAAAGUCUUUUAAAAUUCCAGUUGAAUACACCCCCUUAAGGCUUACC
rnacentral:lncRNA from 1 species